GCUGGAAGAAAGGAGGAGAAGAAAGUGGAAAUGUAUAAUAAAAUUAAAAAAAAAAUAAGUAGAAAUAAAUAUGUAUUUAACAAUAAAUAAAGCUGAGGCCAUAAAAGUAGAAGCUUUAAGAUUGUAGAAAGUGUCUACAACUACCAUUGCCCAUAAUGAUUUAUAGUGUGGUUCACAAUAGCUUUUCCUAUUAUUAGUUGGCAUUAUCAUUUGUCCAUUGAACCUUUGAACUGAUAAUUGACUGCAAUAAAAACGAGAAUAGCUGUUUUGCAUUUAAGUUUGUGUGAAUGUAUGAAGUGUAGUUACACUUUUUUUUCGUAUAUGCAUACAUACAUACUACGGUUUGCGAUUAUUCGGUUUUUUCCCAAAACCGGUUUCCGAGUUAUUCGAAAAAUUGCAUAAGCCCGAUAACCCGGUUUUAUUUUAGAUAGGUUUCUACAAUGAAAAUUCUUUUUUUGGUAUGAAGUAAUGACCAUAACUUUCAAUAAAACUGUUAACAGUUUGAUUUUAUUUCGAAAAGAGCAAAGCA